rnacentral:rRNA from 1 species
UGACGUCAAGUCAUCAUGGCCCUUAUGUCCAGGGCGACACACGUGCUACAAUGGCCGGCACAACGGGAAGCGAGUUCGCGAGGACGAGCGGAUCCCUCAAAGCCGGUCGCAGUUCGGAUUGAAGUCUGCAACUCGACUUCAUGAAGCUGGAAUCGCUAGUAAUCGUGGAUCAGCCAAGCCGCGGUGAAUACGUUCCCGGGCCUU